rnacentral:lncRNA from 1 species
GGAGAAGAGGAUCAUUUCUUCACCUGGACACUGUCAUUUCUGCAUGUGACGUCUGGAACCUAUGUAUUCAUCUUGGGACUUAAAAGAAUUAAGGAGAGGACAGAGCUGAUCUAUUGUAAAUGAUGACAUGCAACUGGGGAAUGCUUUGUCCCUUGCGUUGUUUCAGAGUUACUGAAUUACCGACUUGGAGGGGCUCCAAUUUUGUUUUCUCUUGGAAACUGGAUCUGACUCCCAUAAAGAAGCCCAUGCUAACCUGCUAAAGAAUAAGACCAUACGGAAGAAAGAUGAGUUGUUUAACUGGGGCCAUUCUGGACUAUCCAGCCUACAGCAAACCCGCCAGCUGACUGUAGAUGCGGGAGCAAACCCAGCCAAGAUCAGCCAAGAUCAGCCAAUCCCAGCAAAGACAAGAAGAACAUCCUAGGUGGCCAAUAAACUUUUGAUCAAAAUAAAUCCUUUA